AUAGAGCGGACAUGGCAGCCGUGCAGAUGGAGCGGGAAGUUCUGAUAUAGUUUUUGGGGUUGUAUAAGAAAUAGGGUGUUUAUGGGACAUAUCCAGCAAGCAGUAUAGCAACAAAUAUGCUAGAAAUCAGGCUCUUGAGAUCCUGCUGGAACAAUUAAAACGCAUCGAAGGUGAUGCAACAAUUGUGAGAGUUAAAAAGAAAAUCGAAAAUAUGAGAGCUGCAUACAAAAGAUAAUGGAAGAAAGUGCAAGAAAGUAAAAGUACAGGAGCAGGCAAAGAGGAUGUUUACGUUCCUUCUUUAUGGUACUAUGAACAUCUGAACUUUCUCAAUGAAAAGGACUCGGUACACAGAAAAGGAACGGACACUCUCAGAACCUGCGGGGACGAUGAAGAUGUCAAUGAAGUAACUGAAACACAAACACUAAAAGCACAUCGACUAACAGCCAGCAAACGUCGCGCUACAACUGUAUUGAAGAAACAGGAGGAGUUAAUAGACAGUGCCAAAAAUUUACUUUGCAGAGUUGAUUCACCAGCUGAGUCAUAUAGCCGCACAGUAGGGUUACAGUUGACGGAAAUGACGGAGAUGAAGCGUUGUAUUGCGGAAAAGUUAAUUUCUGAUGUGAUAUUUUAUGGAAAAUUAUGUGAACUCAAUACCCAGUCAACAAUCGCAGUGAACAACCACCCUGUACCAUCACAAUCUCCUUGUUCAUCUGCCACAUCCCAUUCCUGUACGUCCCAUUCUCCGAGUAUUCCACAGUGUUCACACAGAGCAAUACCCAGUACGACAAGUUCGCUAACUAAGGAAACUGACCAGCAUCUGACGUGUUAAGUAUGUAUCAGCAACCAGCUGGCCAAAGUGAGUUCAGUUCAUAUAACGUGGCUGAUAUGCUGGUGUUCAAAAUUUUGUAAAAUAUAACAAUUAGAAAAAAACACAACAUACAAAUUUAUAUCUGAUUGUUGAAGUAUUGUAUUAGAAGUCAUG